AACGAACGCUGGCGGCAGGCUUAACACAUGCAAGUCGAACGCAUCCUUCGGGGUGAGUGGCAGACGGGUGAGUAACGCGUGGGAACGUGCCCUUCAGUUCGGGAUAACCCAGGGAAACUUGGGCUAAUACCGGAUACGUGCGAGAGCAGAAAGAUUUAUCGCUGAAGGAUCGGCCCGCGUCUGAUUAGGCUGGUUGGUGGGGUAAUGGCCCACCAAGGCGAAGAUCAGUAGCUGGUCUGAGAGGAUGAUCAGCCACAUUGGGACUGAGACACGGCCCAAACUCCGACGGGAGGCAACAGUGGGGAAUAUCGGACAAUGGGCGCAAGCCUGAUCCAGCCAUGCCGCGUGAGUGAUGAAGGCCUUAGGGUUGUAAAGCUCUUUCGUCCGGGACGAUAAUGACGGUACCGGAAGAAGAAGCCCCGGCUAACUUCGUGCCAGCAGCCGCCGUAACAC
rnacentral:rRNA from 1 species